rnacentral:rRNA from 1 species
CUUGAAAAAGGGAGUUCAAGAAGAGCUUCGAAGAAGCUUUCUUGAUGGAGGGGAGUGGCAGACGGGUGAGUAACGCGUGGGAACAUACCCUUAUCUUCGGAACAACUCCGGGAAACUGGAGCUAAUACCGAAUGUGCCCUUAGGGGGAAAGAUUUAUCGGAUAAGGAUUGGCCCGCGUUGGAUUAGCUAGUUGGUGGGGUAAAGGCCUACCAAAGCGACAAUCCAUAGCUGGUCUGAGAGGAUGAUCAGCCACAUUGGGACUGAGACACGGCCCAAACUCCUACGGGAGGCAGCAGUGGGGAAUAUUGGACAAUGGGCGCAAGCCUGAUCCAGCCAUGCCGCGUGAGUGAUGAAGGCCUUAGGGUUGUAAAGCUCUUUCACCGGAGAAGAUAAUGACGGUAUCCGGAGAAGAAGCCCCGGCUAACUUCGUGCCAGCCGCCGCGGUAAUAC